AGUUUGAUCCUGGCUCAGGAUGAACGCUGGCGGCGUGCCUAACACAUGCAAGUCGAGCGAAGCACUUUGCUUAGAUUCUUCGGAUGAAGAGGAUUGUGACUGAGCGGCGGACGGGUGAGUAACGCGUGGGUAACCUGCCUCGUACAGGGGGAUAACAGUUAGAAAUGACUGCUAAUACCGCAUAAGACCACAGCACCGCAUGGUGCAGGGGUAAAAACUCCGGUGGUAUGAGAUGGACCCGCGUCUGAUUAGCUAGUUGGUAAGGUAACGGCUUACCAAGGCGACGAUCAGUAGCCGACCUGAGAGGGUGACCGGCCACAUUGGGACUGAGACACGGCCCAAACUCCUACGGGAGGCAGCAGUGGGGAAUAUUGCACAAUGGGGGAAACCCUGAUGCAGCGACGCCGCGUGAGCGAAGAAGUAUUUCGGUAUGUAAAGCUCUAUCAGCAGGGAAGAAAAUGACGGUACCUGACUAAGAAGCACCGGCUAAAUACGUGCCAGCAGCCGCGGUAAUACGUAUGGUGCAAGCGUUAUCCGGAUUUACUGGGUGUAAAGGGAGCGUAGACGGAUGGGCAAGUCUGAUGUGAAAACCCGGGGCUCAACCCCGGGACUGCAUUGGAAACUGUUCAUCUAGAGUGCUGGAGAGGUAAGUGGAAUUCCUAGUGUAGCGGUGAAAUGCGUAGAUAUUAGGAGGAACACCAGUGGCGAAGGCGGCUUACUGGACAGUAACUGACGUUGAGGCUCGAAAGCGUGGGGAGCAAACAGGAUUAGAUACCCUGGUAGUCCACGCCGUAAACGAUGA
rnacentral:rRNA from 1 species